UGUGAGUAGAAAAUAAUAUAAGGGAAGUAUGGAGGGUUUUGAUUCCUUCUGUGUAGGUUCAAUUCCUACUUUUCUAA
rnacentral:tRNA from 1 species